AGUGAACGCUGGCGGUAGGCCUAACACAUGCAAGUCGAACGGCAGCACAGUAAGAGCUUGCUCUUACGGGUGGCGAGUGGCGUACGGGUGAGGAAUACAUCGGAAUCUACUUUUUCGUGGGGGAUAACGUAGGGAAACUUACGCUAAUACCGCAUACGACCUACGGGUGAAAGCAGGGGAUCUUCUGACCUUGCGCGAUUGAAUGAGCCGAUGUCGGAUUAACUAGUUGGCGGGGUAAAGGCCCACCAAGGCGACGAUCCGUAGCUGGUCUGAGAGGAUGAUCAGCCACACUGGAACUGAGACACGGUCCAGACUCCUACGGGAGGCAGCAGUGGGGAAUAUUGGACAAUGGGCGCAAGCCUGAUCCAGCAAUACCGCGUGGGUGAAGAAGGCCUUCGGGUUGUAAAGCCCUUUUGUUGGGAAAGAAAAGCAGCAGGUUAAUACCCCGCUGUUCUGACGGUACCCAAAGAAUAAGCACCGGCUAACUUCGUG
rnacentral:rRNA from 1 species